CACACUGAGGAUUGACAGGUACUUGCAGUUUAGUUUUCUAAUCUGCUUUAAAUAUGCUAGUCCUUUCAUGAUCGUGUGAUAGGUGGUGCAUGGCCGUUCUUAGUUCGUGGAGUGAUCUGUCUGCUUAAUUGCGUUUCAUAUAUUGCUACUAUACUAAUCAAUAUCUGCUUUAUAUUUUUAUUUAUUUAUUAAUUAAAUGCGUGAUAUUCGAUUGAAGUAGCAUGAAGGCAACGAACGUGACCG
rnacentral:rRNA from 1 species